GCCAAUAGGGCUGCUACAGCAGGCUACUUUGAUAUAGUAGAUUGUGAAUUCAAAAUUUCGUUGGUA
rnacentral:tRNA from 1 species